GAUGAACGCUGGCGGCGUGCUUAACACAUGCAAGUCGAACGAUGAAGCCCAGCUUGCGGGGUGUACUAGUGGCGAACGGGGGAGUAACACGUGAGUAUCCUGCGCUCUACUCUGUGAUAUGACCGGGGAACUGGGGCGAAUACCGGAUAUAAGCGCCUGUCGCACGUCGGGGGUUGGGGAGAUUUUUCGGUUAUGGAUGGACUCGCGGCUUAUCAGCUUGUUGGUGGGGUAGUGGCUUACCAAGGCGAUGACGGGUAGCCGGCCUGAGAGGGUGACCGGCCACACUGGGACUGAGAUACGGCCCAGACUCCUACGGGAGGCAGCAGUGGGGAAUAUUGCACAAUGGGCGGAAGCCUGAUGCAGCAACGCCGCGUGAGGGAUGACGGCCUUCGGGUUGUAUACCGCUUUCAGUAGGGAAGAAGCGAAAGUGACGGUAACUGCAGAAGAAGCACCGGCUAACUACGUG
rnacentral:rRNA from 1 species